GCCGCUGGUCAAAUGGAACUCCGGAUCCCUUUCCGCUGCCUCCGCCCUCGCUCCGUCCCUUCUCAGGAUCGCGCAGUCUGGUCUGGGACUGGAUUCCAGGAGAGGCGUCCCCAUCCUACGCUUGAAGGCAGAGCAAGGACGCUGCUCCAAAACACCCGGCUUAUCAGCUGAGCGGAGGCUGCAGGAAUCUACCCAAAUCCACCGGCGGCUGCUUUUGCCUCCCGGAUGCCGGGACAGAAGCCGGGGCUAUCGGAGGUGGUUUGGAAAUGGCAUCGCUUAUGGCCAAGACCGAGGGUUCUGCGGACAGAGAGGAGCCCUGGGUUCGCUUUCUGCCUCAUCCAGCUAGGUGACCUUGGGCAAGGUACUUAAAUUUCCAUGUGCCUUGUUUUCCUCAUCUUUAAGAUGGAGGGAAUGCUCCCGACCUUAACCGGUUGGCUUGAGGAUUACACUAGAACAGGCAGCCUAGGUUGGGAUUCUGGCAUUGGCAUUAGCUAGCUGUGUGCCCUGGGGCAGGUUACUUAACCUCUCUGCCCUAGUUUCCUGAAAAUUAGGGAUCAUAACGGUACUUACCUCCGAGGGUUGUUGCCUGCAAAGCGCUUAACACUGCGGUGGAUGUAAGCGCUCAAUAAACUGUGGCUAUUACGGC
rnacentral:lncRNA from 1 species